CUAAAGUUGCUGGUUCAAGUAAGUGAAAAAGUGUUCUAGACAAUUCUAGGGUCUUCUCUCAUAAGUUUAUCCUACUCAUACGUCUAUAUAUUAAUACGUCUAUAUAUUUGUGAGAGUAGUUGUAAAUUGUUGUGAGUGGAGGAGAAAGAUAAAAGAGAAAAAAAAAUACUAUUCACCUCCAUUAGAAACAUUUGGAGAGCGGCACGUAGUUCUAGAGAGUAUACGUCUUCUUGAUUGUAUACAACGAAUUGAACUAAAGAAGCAAUUUUCUUCGACACCGAGUUCCAUGACCCCUCGUAUACUACGGAAUCUAAGCCCAAAUUCUUUCACACAUCGGCAUGUCUCUAUUGGACCUUUGCACAAGGAUGAUGAGAAUCUCCAACCAUUUGAAGAGGGGAAAUUAAUGUGUGCAAUUAGCUUGGUUUAAAAAAGCACACUCAAGCGCAAAGCCAUCCUAGGUAAGGGAUUUAUACAUCAAAUCGUAUAUAGACCUUAUUUAUAACUAUAUCUUGGGUAAGGAAUGCUAAAAACCUAUAGGAUAUAUAAAAAAUAUAUAAGCACCUCGUGCUUUGCGUAUGAAAAGCCCUUCGCUUUUGCGAUUUUCGCUUUGAUUUUUAUACCGUGUCGCUUUUGUGCGCUUCGCGCUUUUGAAACCAAGGUAAUUAGGCUAAUGAAGCGUCUCAAGGAGCCAAAAAAGGAAGUAUUGGAUGCAUGUUUCCUACUUGAAUUCCUUUUUGAUAUAUUGAACUCGAAGUCUAAAGAUGAUAAGGAAUCAUAUAAGGGAGAAAGGUUGGUAGUCCCAAAUGUAUACAUGAAUAUGAUAGGUAUCCAGAGGAUAUGGAACCACCCCCAUUUAGCUCAACAAUUCCUUCUGAUGAUAUAGAUGCAUGUUUCAAACUUGAUUUCCUUUUUAAUAUAUUGAACUCGAAGUCUUAAGAUGAUAAGGAAUCAUAUAAGGGAGAAAGGUUGGUAGUCCCAAAUGUAUACAUGAAUGUAAUAGGUAUCCGGAGGAUAUGGAACAGUGCCCAUUUAGCACAACAAUUCCUUCUGUUGUUGAUCUGGACAGGGCAGAGAUCAACUUCAAACCUAAUCCAAGUCCAAUAUGGUUGUUAGAUAUGGGGUGACAUAAAAUAUGUUUCUAUUGUUUUUUGAGUAUUGGAGCGACCCUACUCUUACAAUGCCGGUGUUUAUUGUUUCUGAAUUCAGUGAGUUGGUUUCCAGAAAUCUCAUUGCAUACGAGCAGUCGAAUUUUGUUCUCAAUCAUAUUACAUCAUAUGCUUUUGCCCUAAAUAAGCUAAUGGAUAUCGAAGAAGAUGUUGCCAAGUUAGUAUGCUCGAGAGUACUCGUCAACAAUAUGGGCUCAAAAGAUGAAACUGCUGACAUGAUAAACACCAUAAGCAAAUAACUUUUAUGUGCAUAAUUCUUUUGCGGUCAACAAUGGUAAACACUAAAUAUGUACUACAAUAGUUCAUGGCCCAAAAAAAAAGCUUGAGUGAAGCGUACUUACUUUAAUGGUCCAUGGAAUGCUAUUGCUCUACUUGCUACAAUUGCCCUAUUUGUUCUAUCAUUGUUCAGAACAUCUUCAUUGUACUUUCCGCUGGAAUCAAGUAGAUUUUAACUGUGAAUGAUUAUCCCAUGCAGCCAAGAAGUUUACAUCGCAGUUCGCUUGAUUGGGUGUGUUUUUGUAAUAUUGAAGAGGAUUUAUGUUUUGAUGUCAGUCUUCUACACCCCAAACUAUCCCGUGAAGAACUUAUUAAGCAAUUAUGAGCUAUGAUUCUCCGUUAUGAGUGAUUGCUAUUUUUUUUCUCUGA